ensembl:lncRNA LINC01322 long intergenic non-protein coding RNA 1322
GCCUUUGGAGUCAGACUGGAACUACAGCAUUGACUCUUCCGGAACUCCAGCUUACUGACUACAGAUCUUGGAACUUUUCAGCUUCCACAACCAUAAGGUCAUGGGAAGAUAUGCAAGGAAGAAGUCCAUGUGAAGACGGAGGCAGAGAUGAGAGUGAUUUACAAGUAUCUACAAGCCCAGGAACACCAAGGAUUGCCAGCAACCACCAGCAGCUAGGAGAGAAUGCAUAUAAUGGUGAAUGUAACUUCUGAAGGCCUUCCUUACUGAAGAUAAGAAAAUCUGGACCAAAAAAAUCAAACAAAUAAAGAUCUACUUGAAGAUAUUGAAGAAUUGACACUAAAGUAAAUAACUACUGGGCCAUUCUUCUAAGGAGGAUAAGGGGUUUCACCUUGUUGCCCAAGCUGGUCUUGAAGUUCUGGGCUCAAGCGAUCUGCCUGCAUUAGCCUCCUAAAGUUCUGGGAUUACCAACAUGAGCUACCAUGCCUGGGUCAAAGCCAUUCUCUGAGCUGAAGAAAAACUACAAAAGAUAGAAACUCAGAUGUGCAGGAAAGAAUAUAGACACCAAAAAAGACCAUAUCAUAUUUGCUCCAGUACUUCCAGCAAGGAAAUUGUACACGUUUGAGAUGACUGUUGUAACUUACCCUUCUGCCUGGUCACAGGAAAUGGUGUCAUUUCUUAAAAAGGAGUGCAAUUUUGACCAAUUACUUUUUACUGGAAGAACUUCAAGAAUAGCUAUGAAGCAUAUGAAGAGGUCUUAUUCCGAGUGAUCCUGAUGCUAGUCAAGGAAGGGAAUGACUGGUUAGAAUCAAUGCCCACACCUGAGAAUUGUGCUUGAGAUAGAUUCUCCUGAAGACACAGGGCUUCACAGGAAGGAGAGAUAAUUAUUGGAUGGAAAACAGAACUGAGAAGAGAAAUCACUUGUGUCCCAGCACCAUUUGUUGAAAAGGAUAUUCUUUCCCUGUUGAAAUAAUGUCUUGGCACCCAAACUGAAAAUGAAUUCACCUCAGAAGAGAUCAGCAUUUGAAUCAGUAGACUGAGUAGCUCUCACCAGUAUGGGCAAGUGUCAUCUAAUCCCUUGAGGCCUCACCUAGAGAACAAGAAGGGAGAGAAAGAAUGAAUUUGCUCUCUCUUCUUGAGCUGGGACAUCCAUCUUCUGCCCAUCCUCUGCUCACCUUCUGCUCCUAGUUCUUGAUUCUUGGACAUAUGUCAUCCCCACUCAAUUGUCGAGCCUUCGACCUUGGACUGGAAAUUCCAACACUGAUCAGUUCUUCUGGAUCUCUGGCCUUCAGAUUUGGACUGAAUUACACCAACAGCUUUCCUGGCUGUCUAGCAUGCAGAUAGCAUAUUGUGGGAAUUAGCCUCCAUAACCGUGAAAACCAGUUUCCAUAACAAAUCACAUCUUCUCCAUCUCUAUAUAUCCUAUUAGUCCUCUUUCUCUGGAGAACCGUGACUAAUACGAGAUCUCAAGCGAGAAUAUGCAUUUCUGUCUUGCCUAUUUAAUUAAGUUUUGGGGAAAAAAAUCACAUGGAGUAAUGCACAGAAAUCUUGUUAUGAGAUUGCCAAAAGUUCCAUUUAUCACCUACUCCAUCUCUUAUCCUAUAGAUAUUUUAUGAUUUUCACAACUUUGUAAAACAC